rnacentral:tRNA from 1 species
GUGGACGUAGCUUAGCUGGUCAAAGCGCCAGAUUGUGGCUCUGGAGACCGUGGGUUCGAAUCCCACCGCCCACC